rnacentral:rRNA from 1 species
GACUCGGCGGGAUCUCUGCCCCGGGUGCGUCGCAGCCCCGGACCAAGGCGCCCGCCGGAGGACCAACCAAAACUCUUUUUGUAUACCCCCUCGCGGGUUUUUUAUAAUCUGAGCCUUCUCGGCGCCUCUCGUAGGCGUUUCGAAAAUGAAUCAAAACUUUCAACAACGGAUCUCUUGGUUCUGGCAUCGAUGAAGAACGCAGCGAAAUGCGAUAAGUAAUGUGAAUUGCAGAAUUCAGUGAAUCAUCGAAUCUUUGAACGCACAUUGCGCCCGCCAGUAUUCUGGCGGGCAUGCCUGUCCGAGCGUCAUUUCAACCCUCGAACCCCUCCGGGGGGUCGGCGUUGGGGAUCGGCCCUCCCUUAGCGGGUGGCCGUCUCCGAAAUACAGUGGCGGUCUCGCCGCAGCCUCUCCUGCGCAGUAGUUUGCACACUCGCAUCGGGAGCGCGGCGCGUCCACAGCCGUUAAACACCCAACUUCUGAAAUGUUGACCUCGGAUCAGGUAGGAAUACCCGCUGAACUUAAGCAUAUCAAUAAGCGGAGGAAAAGAAACCAACAGAUU